UAUACAGGUCGAGUGAUCGCUCCGACGCAACGUCGGAGAGGAAAGUCCGGAUACCUCUCGCCUUAAGCGAGAACGUAGUGGGUAACACCCACCGCCACGACAUCGCGUCGGGACAGAGGUGCGAGCAGAGACGCUGGAAUGCGAAAGUAUUACAGCGCCCCAAGAUUUUCAAGGGGCGAGCCCUGAUGGCAACAUCGGGGGUGAAACGGCAAAAUCCUUACGGGGUACAAAACUCGUGCCCAACUUUUUGGACAGCUGAACAAAGAGUUGGGAGUGGUUGCUUGACCCCGACGGUAACGUCGGGGCUAGAUAAAUGAUCGCUUAGAAACAGAAUCCGGCUUACGAACCUAUCAAAAAC
rfam:Spirochaetes bacterium GWB1_48_6 gwb1_scaffold_2085, whole genome shotgun sequence.